UUAAUCGUCUGGCGUUAGACAGACAUAAUUUGGGCACAUUCACAUUGCCAGUACAUUACCAGUUAAUGUCGAUUUAAUAUUAACAACUAGGGUGUCAAAGGCUAGGUGGAUGCUUCUUUGCCUGCAGGGGCGAAACUAGCCCAUUUCAAUUGGGGGGGUGUCUGUUAGAAUUGCCCUGCGAAAGGCAAUGAUGCCCUGCGGCAAACAUUUUUUGGGGGCACUAUUUCUCCUAAAAAAGUUGGCAAGCCCUGGAAGCUACUUAAUAACUCUACAUUCUACCAUUUAAAACCUUUCAUUGCCCUGCCAAUCCAGAUGAUUUGCCCUGCCAAUCCAGCUUUAGGGGGGGGGGGGGUGACCCCCCACACACACACACACACACACACCCCUUCAAGUUUCAUCCAUAACAUGAUCAAUGUUAGAUUUCAGCAAUGAAGAGAAUCAAUAUUUUAAUAAAAUAAUUGUUAAAAU